GUGCCUCGUUCACUUCCAUAGCUUCAUCACCAAUAUUUGUCCGGGAGAAAGCCUUUUUCAUAGAACAAAAAAACAAAACAACAACAAAACAAACAAAAUGGCUACACCAAGCACAACAACCAAGCCACGUUCUAAAUUCCUUACUGGCGCAACAUCCGGGUGUCCCUGUAAUACUUGCUGGACUUCCAUCGGGUCAGAUUUCCAUAACCCCUCGAAAAGCAUCUCACAAUAGCAAUCCCGGCCACGUUUACAAUAAUUGCGACAGUCGGGCAACCGCUUGCAACGGACAAUCAGGCAACAUUCUAAAUCCAAAUUCGAGGUGUCCACCAGACUCUCCAAAGACCUGCAAUCGUGAAUCCGCAAACACUUAAGAGAUUCCAAGCGUUCCAAACCUUCCAUGCUUCUUAGCUUCGGACAUUUUCCCACUCGAAGCUCCCUUAGCUUCCUCGAUUUCGAUAGGUCUGGCAUCCUUUCGAUCGACCUACAAUAUGCGACCGCAAGGGAUGAAAGGGAUCCCAAUUCUUCGAGGCCGCGAAUCUCGACUAGUAGCUCACAUUUUAACAGAUCUACCUCUUGCAGAUUCUUCAUAUGCGACGGCUCAAGUGCUUUUGUGGGCUGAUGCCGCUGUCGACGAAUCCUCCGACGGUUUCUGGACGGGAAUUUCCUGUUUCUCAGCCAACACUGUUCAAUCCGUCUUGAAAGCGUGGAAUCCUGCAGAUGGAGUUUCUCCAACUCCGAAUCACAUAUACCAACGAAUAUCCCCAUCCCAUAACGACAGAGACCCAGACUCCGCACUUCUCGAAAUACUGACUCUCUAAACUAGACGGAGCUGGAGGAGGAACCACAUGUUUGGGGAGGCCAAUAUUGUUUUUCCCUCUGAGAUUUGCUACGCUCGAGGGACUCGCAUAAAAAGUGACAUCCUCCGGCUUAUCAAAGGGGUAAAGUUGGGCCGUCUGCUAUACCACGCGUCCCAUCCGAAGUUCACGGAUAUUAGAGACGAGACUCGCCACGGUGGGUAAUCCAAAUAUUUGGGUCCCAUGACAAGUCUGGCAUUUUCAAACAGUACAGCUCAUUUAUAGUGGAACGAAAAAGAAUAAGCCACUAACUGAACAAACCAGAUCGCACUAGGUAAUUUUGUCAACCCUCCCUUAAUGUCCCUCAUCCUAAGUGUUGUCAGUUGCUUUAGAUUGCUGAAUGAAUCCGGUAGGUGAUCAAUAUACAUUCCUAACAAAUCCAACUCGAUUAAUGAUUGUAAUUUCCCAAUCGAGUUCGGAAGUUUCUUUAUCUGCCCACAACCACGUAAUCUCAAAAUCUCCAAAGACACCAACGUAGAUAAAUCGGGCAAUCUCCUUAAGUUAUUGCAAUAGAGGAGAUCUAAGACUUUUAGUUUCCUUGCCGCCUGCAAAACAAUAAUAUUUAUUGAGAAAUGACCUAUAAAAAAAAUAAAUAGAAAUGAUGUAUGGAUACAAGGAGUGAGGAGUGAGACUCGUAUCGUACUUUGAUCCAAUCAAUAUCUUUUUCCGAAAUGUUGCUCCUUGAAAGGUCAAGAACGACUAAAUUAGUUGGAUGAAAGUUUUUUGCCUCAAAUACAAAUGAGGAAUUGCAAGAAAGCCAUUUUAAAUCGGAAAGAAGAUUAUUGAAGUCUCCAACAAAGGACACGCGAUAUCCUCGAAAGAACCUCAGCUUCUCUAAAUAAGCAAAUUCGUCAUGCUUUAAAAUUAUGUCUUCCAAAGUGUCUUCGAGAAAUCCAAGUGACAGUGCUUUAAUUUUCCUACUCCCCUGACAAUGGAAACACAAAGGAGUCCACAUGGUGAAGCUCAAAGGCAAACAAUUCCAAUUGUUAAUAGCGAUUAAUUUUUCUUUUUACAAGAAUAAUUUACAACAUUUCACAAUAAAAUAAAUCGAUGUUCCCUUUUCAUACCUCUUUCUGCUUCAAAAUGCUUAGCACUUCCUUAGGAUCAUGCACUCUGCUACGCUCGCACGGAUCAUCAACAUUCUCUUUACGAACGAUUUCCCUUCCGAGGUCCCGCACUUGGUCAUGCAUCCAUAAAGUAUUGUCAUCCUUGAUUUUUAUCAAGGACAUGAGAACGAGGACUUCAAGGGCAUUGUGUGGGUAGUAUCCACAAGCAUCCCACAUGUAGGAAGGGUAUGUUUUUUUGCCAUUAGCAAAAAAACAAGCUAUAUCCAAAAAUACUUGCCUUUGGGCAUCAUCUAACCUUUCAUAAGUUAUCAUCAAUGUUUCUUGGACUUCCUUAGGAGGAGCUUCUUUUAGCUUGUUCAAUGUGUCUCCCCAUAUUUCUAUGGAUUUACCAUUAAGAAAUGAGCCUAUAAUCUCAAGGGCUAAAGGAAGAUUUCCCAAAGUAUGGAUAAUUUUUUCGGAAAGGGGGAUAUAAUGAUCUAGAGGAUAGUCUCUUCUAAAGGCAUGCCUGCUGAAAAGCUUAAGAGCAUGAUCACAUUCCAUUUCCAAUACUUCAUGAGCCAAAAUAUUUGUAGGGGCUUCACAUGUUGCUUCUACUUGAAUGCUCAGGACACUUUGGUACCUAGUAGUUAUGAUAAUCCUACUACCGGAACCGAACCAAUCAACUUUCUUUGCUAGACUUUUGAGUUGCUUUUCCUCGUCCAUAUCGUCAAGAACAAUGAGAACUUUUUUAUUGCGAAAUACUUUCUCAAUCAUUAUGGCCCCAUGAUCCGUGUCAUGAAUUUGGUUGAGGAUGGAAAGAGAAUCAAGGAACUCGGAUAGCAACUGAAUUUGCAAACCUACCAUACCAAGGCGUCGUGACGUCUCUCGGAUAUCCGAAAGGAAAUGGCAGUAUUCGAAGUGAGAAGACAGUUGGUUGAAGAUGACCUUGGCAAGUGUUGUUUUGCCAAUCCCGCCCAUUCCAUGGAUUCCAAGAAAUUGAACGCUAUCCGAUCCCACAUCCAACUUUUUUAUUAUAGCUUCUACACAAUCAUCAACUCCAACUAGAUUUUCAGUCACAAUCUUUUUAUUUCCGACAUUCAGCUUACGCAACACAGUUUCAGUCACAAGUUUUACCAGAUCCACUUGGCUGCAACAAGGUAACAACCAUGUUAGGAUAUAUUUUAUAUUGCAAAACUGCUCCCUCAAGGACUCAAUUGCUCCUACAAUUUGCAAAAAUUAUGCAACAUAAUCUAGACGGCAAAAUAAUCUGGAUUUUUUCCAAUCCGUCUCUGCUCCCCCAAUUUUAGUCACCAUCACUGUCGACCGCUGCCACCACCACACCGCCAUUGACGUCUCUCACCUCCUCAGCUCGUCACCAUUGUGUUCCAACGGGGUUGCCCAUCGCGCCCCAUCGACCCGCCCAUCUCGGCCUUGCCUCAAUCCUUCAAGUCACAUGGAUCUUGUGGCCUUGCAACCGCCAAGGAUGCUUUACCGGCCUUUGGCGGCGCCAAAUUUGAGGUCGCCCAAGGUCGGCAAUGCCAAAUAUGGUCUCGGUGACAUCGGGCCCGACAUCCCGAGCCCAUAUCUGACUUCCCAUUGAAUGAGAGAAAGAAAGGGUGGGGGGCCGGAUGGCUCGAUGGCGGCUUGUUGUCGGGCUGGCAAGGAAGAAGUGACGGUUGAGGGAGAGCUGCUGCGGUGGCUGGCCAGCGGCUUGGUGGAGCAGCUAGGUUCACGAAAGAGCAUAGCUUUUCACCUUUUAAGUAAACGUUUUUUUUUUUUAAAGUUUCAUUCUUCUAUUGCUUAAAAAUUAACUGGCCCCUUAGACUUGCGCUACGAAUGGCUAUACGGUCGUAUACUUCUAUAUUUUUCUUAAAUGCUUAUGAAAUCCAGGAUAAAAAAAAAUUGCAAAUGCCAUAUAAAUGAUGCUGAAAGAAAGCAGAGGUAAUACACAAAAUCAUCUUAAAUUUCAGGUAGUACACAUUUACUGCCGAAACUUCAACUGUUUCGCAAUAUUUCCUGCACUUUCAUUUUGUUACGCAACCAUUAACUGGGUAUCAAUUUUGUCAUCAGCAUGUGCAAGGCACAUGAUUCUUACAUUAUAUAUAUUUCUAUCUCAAUUUUUGAAAAAAAAAUUCUCUUUUAUACUUAAUUAUCAUGAAAGAGAAAAGAAAUUUUGAAAUUGGGAGAAAAAUGAAAGGAAUGAAAUACUAAAGUUAAAUAAACUGAUUUUUCACCAGCAAUACUGCAAUUAAACUGAAUAUGGAGGAAAAGGAAAUCUACAUAUGAUAGUUUGAAAAAUUGUAAAUAUUUACCUUUCAUCUUUCUUCCAGUUCCAUCCAAUUAUCUUGCCCACCUCAACGAGAGCCUUUUCCCAUGACUCUACUUCACUGCACGUCUUCCGACGCUUUGAAAGAGUUUGUUGAUACAAUUUUGUUUUCAACUUGACAUCAGAAGGUUCCACAUCCAAGAAAAUAGGCAGAAUCUCUUUGUUCCCAUUUGAUUUUGAGGUGCACUCGACCAUGUGUGCAAGUUCUCGGAGGCACCACUCACUCGAAGCAUAAUUUGUGGAGAAUAUGGGAAUGUAGAUCUGGGAGUUCUCAAUUGCAUGUAAAAGCUUACCAGUUUUUUCACCGACAUGGAGGGAUUCACUAUCCCUAAAGACAAGGAUUCCGGCACCAACCAUUCCAUGGUAAAGAAAAUCGGUGAAUCCAUUACGAGUGUCUGCUCCUCGAAAACUUAAAAAAACCUCAUAUGAAGAUCUGGAUGAUGCCCGUGAAUUCGUGCCUUUCUCCAUGGAAGGAUCUCUAAACACCACGGAUAUCAAAUGCUUUCUUUCUCUCAGUGAAGUUUGCUUUGAGUGUGCUUGGAUCUGAGCGAGGGCUAUCAGUAUUAUAAGCUCUCUCGGUCUCUAGCUUGGAGAAAAGGUACUGGACUCCGAAUAUCCCUUGAGUCAAUAUAGUCAACAACUUAAGUCAUCCAAGAAGUUUCCAUGAAAUUUCCUAAAAGUUUCCAUGAAUCAAUCAGUGAGCUGGCAUCCUAGAAAUUUCCGGGUCCCAUUCAUUUAAUGACAAAUUUAAAUUCUGAAGCCUAACGACAAACGAAAGUGACUGCACCAAUUCAUAGAUUCAUGGCUUUAGAGACGAAAGAUAUAAAUUUAAACCAAGAUAUGGCAUGAAGAUGGUCUUUGAGUUUUUCUAUACUUUAAUCAUAUUAAAGAAACUUUCAAAAGUACUCCCAUCUAUAUUAUAUAUGCUUCUCACCUUUUGAUAUAUGUUGAAUGUUCAUCUUUAGAGACAAAUCCUCAACUAAAAUAUCAAACUACCCCUUUUACUAUGGAAAUGUAUUUUAUGUGCUAGUCAUAUGUGGAGUAAUCAGUUCAACAGCAAUAUGCAUGUCCAUUUAAUUGGCGCUUGAAUGUUGAAAAUACUCAAUAUUGAUCGGUUUAUCAUACCACAUUUUACUAUCAUGUGAUGCAACCUUGAAAUUUUUUUCUCUUUGUGACCAUAACAUCUCUCUCUCUCUCUCUCUCUCUCUCUCGGUGAACCUAAGUUGAAAAACUCACUAAUCUCAAUCUUCAAGACAUAAGUGAUCUGAAACAAUUAUGGUUCAAUCCGUGUAUUAUAUAGAGGCGUGGAACCCUUUUAUGAUCACAUAUAGAGAAGGUCUCUAGAGCUGGUCACUCUUACCCGCCCCUUUACUCAAAAUAGGGGAAAAUUGUGUACUUUUAUUAUGGGAAAAAUUCCUUCAACAAAAGUUUUACUUUUUUUUUUACAAAAUUUUUACUUUAGAUGAUGGCAAAUGUGGGAAAUAAUUUUUCAUACUUUGUUCCUAACUUUAACAAAAGUUGGUCAACUUCAAAAUAGUGCUAAACAUGAUUUCGUUUUUGGCUUUUUUUCAUGGUACAAGGUGCGCCGUGCUUUGAAAUGAAAUGAAUGAGAAAUUUAACUAAUGAAGAGUAAAAUUCUUGGAAAUUAAUGUGCAAAGGAAAAGUGUAAUGGGAAAUUGCAUUAUUUGCGCUCUGUCACUUCCUCACGCAUGUGUUUUCAUUUUUUCUUUGCACCCCCUCCACAAUAACCUGCCUCCCCUGUUUCUCUCUCUCUCUCUCUCUCUCUCUCUCUUUUUCCUGAGAACUACACUAUUUUUCUCCUCUUUCUAUUAAAGUUUUCUCUCCUGCGGGUACCCAUUUCCCUCUCUCUAUAUAUCUCUUUCUUGGGCGCGAAGAAAAGCUCCAUCCUUUACUUUUUGAAGCUCUCUUUGACAAUGAUUAUAUUUGCUUCCCCUUUCUUCUAGAAUAUCAUAUCUUCAUAAGAUGGAAGGUCUUGUUCGGCUGCACAUUUCGAAAUCGGAAAGGAGAAAUCAAAAGGAGGAAAGGGGCGUGCAGUUUCCAUCUUGACAAAGGAGCAAUCUCGGUAUUCAGGUACCAGAACUCACGGCCAAAAGAAACAACAAAACCUGGGCAUCAAAAAACAGAGGGGUCUCGGACAAGUGGGGAGAGAGAUUUUUCUGAACAAAAGUCGGUCAACUUCAAAAUAGUGCUAAACAUGAUUUUGCUUUUGGCUUUUUCUACGUGUAGGUGUGCUAGGGCUUCAAAAUGAAUGAUGGANNNNNNNNNNNNNNNNNNNNNNNNNNNNNNNNNNNNNNNNNNNNNNNNNNNNNNNNNNNNNNNNNNNNNNNNNNNNNNNNNNNNNNNNNNNNNNNNNNNNUCACUCGUGCCCCAACAACUCUUGUUUGUUUAUAGUCAUUUUUUUCUUUUAUUCUUCACGAGAUCUCCUUCUUCUGUUUUUUUUUUCUCUUCUUUGCCGACCCCUUUUGUCUGUUUUCCCUUGUAGUCUUCUCUCUUUUGUUGACCGAAACCCUCUCUCUCUCUUUGUUUCUCUUUGUUGGCGGCGAAGAAAAAGCUCCAUCCUUUUCCUUUCCCUUUUUUUUUUUCGAGCUCCCUCCGGCAAUGAUUAAAUGCUGAAAAAUCGCUUCCCCACUUGGCCGAGAAUCCCCUGCUUUUCUAUGCAAGGAUUUUCUUGUAUUCGUUUGGCAAAGAAUCCCCUGCUUUUGCUUCCUUUGUCAAGAUGGAAACUCCACGCCUCUUUCCUCCUUUGAUUGUCCCUUGCCUUUUCUACCAAUUUCGACAUGUGCAGCUGAACAAGACCUUCCAUCUAUGUGUUCGGACUAGACCGGCUUCGAAAAUGGGUGUUGGCCGAUUUGAAUUUCCCUUGUUGUCCUUGAAUGACCGCGCUGCCUUUCCAUUCAUUAGGCCGAGUUUGAUUAGCUUAGGGCCGGGCUCGUGCAGGCUCAAUUUUGGAACCUCAAGGGAGUUCAGGACUCAUUUUUUUUUUCCAUAUUAGACUAUCCAUCGAGCCAAUCCCAAAGAAAUUCUGAUCCAUGCUUUAUUCAACACAAAUACUUUAUGCCCAAAAUUUAAAUGUCCCUAAUAUUUAAAUGUGAAGAAAUGCAGUUGAGAAUUGCAAGAUCAAUAUUUUUUUUUUUUGGGGGCCAAACUCCAUCGAACUUGAUCUCAAAUUUUCUUAAAUGAAUGAGAAGACCUCGAGCGAAAACUUGUGUGUCAAAUGGCACAAACUAAUUCAAUAGUACCAUAGCCUAUCUAACACUCACAAUAGAUGUAAUAUGUCCAUGACAUAAAAUCUUACAACUUCUCACCACUAAGUUAACAAUCGUAAGUUCACGUGAAUAGCAAAGUCUAAAGAAAUUACUAUGAACAUUGAGAGUUACUAACAAGAGAUAGACAGAAAAUUACUUUUUAUUAUUUCAUCAUAAUUUAUCACAUGGAAAAAUUACUAGUUGCUGAUAGGUAGAUACCGUUUCGGUGUAAAAGGAGUUACUAGUCAUACUAAUUUUGUAUAAUUACUUUAUUGAUUUUCUAUACCAAAAAUUAAGAUGGAUGAAAGCAUGACCUGACGUGUGCUUAGGUCUCGGAAACAAGGCCAAUAGUUUCAUUCAAGAAUCCAUAUCCCCUUUGGAAUCAAAUCGUCAACAAGUUUCACGUUAGAGCACUGAGAAUGGUAUUUUGAUUUGCCAUGACUUGCAGCGUUGCUUAACAGUUCUGGGAAAACCUCCAUCACCAUAAGAAAAAUAUGCAAUAAAGGAUCAACCUGCCUUAGUCCUUUCUCACCCUUGAAGAAGCCCUCAAGACCUCCCUCCAAUGUCAGAAGAUACAGAGGAAGGCUCUGUAGCUUAGCCUAGACAACAGUUUUCACAUCAGAGACCUCCUAACUUUGCAUUCAGGCUUCCGUUUUCUCAGCACAAGAAGAUAGUGCGCAAUGUUCUGGAAGAGGAAAAGUUCAUAAGGAACAUCCCGUUCUCAAUCUCCUCGUCCCCACAGCAUAUUCACCGUAGCGGAAAUAAAUCCAAUACUCUUUCUUGCCAAGACCUUGCCCUACAAGAGAAGAAUUCCAUUUUUCACCGCUGUUACCUAUGACAGAUUUAGGAACUAAAACAGGCUUAACACCAUCGACAACUUUAGGUACGUGGUACAUGUGUGCAACGUCCUAGAUUGCUGGUACACUCUUUUCUUCACAAGUUCGUAUUCGGAUCUUACUUUCUGCCCAAGGAUACUUUUUUGGUUCUCCCUAUUUCUUCCGUUAGAACUCACUACCACAAUCAAAUAAGCACUUUUCAUUGAUCAAAUGGGAAACUUUGCAAGUCUUGCAUAUUUUCAAUGAUAAAAGAUGAAUUGUUUCCAUUUCAAUUUUUCGCAGAUGAAAGCAAAACUGCACAAUUUAGAAAGAGAAAAAUUCAUCUCUUUUCUAGCCCAGAAAUAUUCUCUGGAAUAGUCUCGAAGCGGUCUUAGAUCCAAGCCUACAGGAACUCAGUGGAAUGUUACGUGGAAAACAAGGUCCCACAUUGGCGAUAGAAGAACCUUGACUAUAUACCGUCAAGAUUGUGGGCUUUGUGACUAAUGGUUACCUUAUAAUAUUUCAGAUCAAUAAGAGCAAAGCUGACAGGAGAAACUUUGGAUCUCGCAAACUAAGUAAUAUACUCACAAAUNNNNNNNNNNNNNNNNNNNNNNNNNNNNNNNNNNNNNNNNNNNNNNNNNNNNNNNNNNNNNNNNNNNNNNNNNNNNNNNNNNNNNNNNNNNNNNNNNNNNNNGAAGAGAGCAAAAGCUUACAAUUCUGAGGAAGAACCCCUGUAUUGAGGUACUUCCUAAGAUCAGCUUGCGUGACCCAUAGAGUGAACACACGUCCAAUUGGCAGCCCCAUCUUCAUGGUGCACAACUUCAUUCAAAUAUGAAAGGACAAUCAACAAAAAACAAUAGAGAAAAUCGCAGUGAUCAUGCAUAAUACUAAGUCGAUGAUGCAUCCUGGGUAGCUUACCCCUAGAACUAGACAUUCUCAUACUCCCAAGACAAUCUCCUCGCUUUAAGUAUCAUGAAUUUCCUUCUUUUUUGUACUUCGCAUGUGAUGACUGGCUUGUGUGGGCGAGAGCUUCGUGCUCCUGAAGCACCCAAAAUUCGUUUGGGGGAUGGGACUCUCCAUUUAUACAGCUGGAUAACUUGCACAACUGAACAUUGCUCUUCUCUUUGCAGCCACAACGUGCUGAACCAAUCCCUACUUCACCACAUCACGGAUCUUGCACCUUGCCACCUUGGGCCUUGCAAUCCUAGAAUUAUGGACUCCAUAACCCAUGCGAGAUGGACAGAUCCCAAAAUCUGCCCCGCUGCUCAACUCAAUGAUGAAAGUAUGCUCCGGUGUCCACAUUAAAUUGCCAGGGAUUGGAGAUGGCACUUGGAAAAGCUCCUCAGGAGACAAAUGGAUGUUCGGCACAAACAGAUCUUGUGUGUAACCAGGAAGAUGACUGCUUUCGCCAGCACUCAAACUGGACAAAAAGUCCUCCCUUGCCAAGCUGUUGAAUUACAGUCGGAUCAAAGAUUUUUGCAGUGAUAUGACUGUGGCCCCAGACAACUAAUUGUCUGAUCUCUGUGACAUUGUAGCAGCACGAUGCUGAAACCAGUGAGAAACUAAAUUCAGGAGUCAUUUCUGGUCUAUCUGAAUAAUGAUGCAUUUCAGUUUCAGCUACCAUAGAUGUGCAAAAAGGUGGAUGUGCCAAUAAAGAAAUGGGAACACUAAACUGUGAAAGAUUAAGAAGGCCAAAAAGGAAAAGAUAGAUGGAAGUGAUGUAAUACCACAAUAGCUUGGUUUAGCUCUGUGUAAAACAGAUGAUGAAGAGGCAGGCUCAGGCCGAUUGAUGGCUCUGUAGGCAAAUUGGUUGGGGCUCUCAGAAGAGAGACGCUGGGCAGGGUAUUGAGCACCGCCAUUGAUUCUUGUUAUUGUAAUCUAGCCAUUUCAAGUUCUGCAACAAAAUCUGUCAACCGAGCAGCGGGUCCAAUCAAGUCCAAAAUCAAACGGGUACUUUUUUAAGAGAAGUGCUUGUGGUAUAUAUUCUGCCAUGGAAGCAGACUAAUCCGAUAGAAACAGGCCCUUUCUAUAGGUCCAGAUAGAUUCACACUCAGCUACUAGAUAGAGAUGUUUCGGGUUAUGAUUUAUGUACCUUCUGAGAGUGGGCCAAUAUGUCUAUCAACUGGUAAAUUUGGCCAUCGAGUGCUGCUUGAGAAACUUUCAUGACCGAAUUGAACACUAUACUGGCCUUGUUCAAAGCUUGGUAGAAAUACAUCUUGUCAUCGUUGAUCACACAGGGGCUGGCAUGUCUGACGAUUGUCUCCCAUGUCCGCUUGGUGAUCCCAUUUCCAAGUACCUGAAAUAACAUCGCACACAAAAGAAGUAGCACGAUUUAAUAUUGAACAAUGCUCAGAAUAACGUGAACUGGAAAAAAGAGAAAUUAGCAGUGCUCAAAGAGUAAGAGUCACUUUGUUUCUUAGAAAGGCACAUCCGCUUCGUACAGCUGGAGGAAAUCUUGAACAGUGUCGAUUCCUCUCGAAGUCAUGCACUUGUGCAGAGCACUGUCUUUGGCUAUUUUUUGCAAACACCAUACUUCGUCGCUCAGUGAUUGUGGAUAGUGCUUCUUGUUCACUGCACAUAACAAAGAAAACUUGUCAGUCAGUCAGUCUUUCUAUGGUCCACAUACAGAGUUGAUGGUUGGAAUUAAAUUGUUAUCCUAAAAUGAUAGGCAUUGCAAACUUACACUCUCCUCGAUGAUAGUUAACGAUGAAAGUUUCACUUCUCACUUCACUUGAUUCUUAUUUCUGCAGAAACCUUUUGAACAGCUCGAGCUCAUUUCCCGACUUCUUAUCCAGCUCGAGAUGUCAGUGAUGAUUAAAUUACGGAGGCAACCAAUUCCCCCUUGCAAGAUCACAGUCAGCUCCCCGGUUAUCAAUGGCCUUCUCCAUUCCUUUUCGCAAACGAUAUUGUAAUUGAAUUCCUUUUCGGUCCAAUCCUCUCCCUGGUCUGACCCGAAAUCGCCAUCAAGGAUGACAAUUUUGAGCUUUGUGGAAGAUAGAGGGCCACUCAUAACCCUCUCAUUGGUCCUGCCAUCUACUAGUUCGAUCCUCAAAGGAGUACCAUCCUCGGUGCUUAUCUGACCGCUAGUGAAGAUGGUUGCCGGUAAUUUGGUAACAAAAUGCAGUUGCAAACUGCUUGUGCUUCCCUUAUUCUUUUUUCUGCAACAGCGUUGAUUCCUCUCAAUGUCAUGCGCUUGCGUAGAGUGCCGUCUUUGGCUAUUUUAUCGAAACGCCAUUCUUCAUCGCUAAAAAAUGGUGGGUGGUGCUUCUUGUUCACUGCACAUAACAGAGGAAACUUGUCAAUCUUUAAGUCUUUUUAAGGUCCACAAAUAUUAUCAAUGACAAAUCCACUUCUUCAUGCCACUUCUUUGGAAACUUGAAACAAGACAUGGAGUAAGUUUGUACAGCAUAAGCCAUUGUUUUUACCUAAUGUCCCUACCAGCUUGUGACAACAACUUAGAUUUUCAGCUAGGCAUCCUUGUCAAGACUCUAUCCUUAAAAAAGCCAAGAGCUUCAUGUUUGGAUCUACCCCCAUAGAAUAGGCAGACCCAUAUAGUUACCAGGGUUCUGAAUACCAUUCAUUCCCUGGGCUAUGCGCACCUCUGUUCUGAACUCUGCACCCAUGUUAGGACUGAAUCAUAUACUGGAUUUUUGCAAGAUAAUCCUAGGGACCGAGCAGUGCAAUACAGUCAAGAAUUUUUUCGAACAUCUGCAGUUCAAUCAGGGUUAGUAACAAGAAAGAAUAGGGAGUCAUAAGUAAAGAGAAUGUGGGCUCAGGGCACUCCUUUUUAAGCUUAAUUCCUAAAAGCCAACCCUCCUACAGCAUAUGGGAUAAAACAUAAAGCCACAAUUGUGAAUAAAAAGUGUUAGUAUAUGUGCUUGACCGUCUGCGACUCGACCAGCACAGCCUCGCUGACCUCGAACAACACAACGCCCCCCCCCCCCCCCCCCCCCCCCCCCCCCCCCCACCUCCUCUCUCUCUCUCUCUCUCUCUCUCUAAUGUAAGAAUCCGAGAGAAACUCCGACCAUCCACUCUCUCUCUUUCUAUCUCUCUAGCCCUUCCUCAUCUCUCGCUACGAGACUUUCACAUUCCGUGUUCAGUUUCUCCGUUUCGAACAAAACAAGAGAGGGAAAAACAGGGUUUGACCACACUCGUUUGAGUUGAAACUCAUAUAUAACAAAGACAAAAGGAGGAAUAAAAUGAAAAUCAUGGACAUCAAUCAAUGAACUGAGUACUAUGUUCAAAAGCUGAUCAAAAUUGGACAAUGUUUUGGCAUCAUAUGAGCGUGCCUUGUUCACUUCCUUAGCUUCAUCAUCAAUAUUUGUCCGGGAGAAAGCCUUUUUCAUAGAACAAAAAAACAGAACAACAAAACAAACAAAAUGGCUAAACCAAGCACCACAACCAAGUCAUGUUCUAAAUUCCUUACUGGCGCAACAUCCGGGUGUCCCUGUAAUACUUGCUGGACUUCCAUCGGGUCAGAUUUCCAUAACCCUCGAAAAGCAUCUCACAAUAGCAACCCCGGCCACGUUUAUAAUAAUUGCGACGGUGGGGCAACCGCUUGCAACGGACAAUCAGGCAACAUUCUAAAUCCAAAUUCGAGGUGUCCACCAAACUCUCCAACGACCUGCAAUCGUGAAUCCGCAAACACUUUAGAGAUUCCAAGCUGUCCAAACCUUCCAUGCUUCUUAG
rnacentral:lncRNA from 1 species